AUUUAUAUAAUAUAAUUAAGUAUAUUUAAUUUCCAAUUAAAUUGUCUAAAUAAAUUUAGUAUAAAUA
rnacentral:tRNA from 1 species